UGGCCGCUAGCUCAGUCGGUUAGAGCGUCGUGCUAAUAACGCGAAGGUCGUAGGUUCGAUCCCUGCGCAGGCCAU
rnacentral:tRNA from 1 species